rnacentral:rRNA from 1 species
CCUACGGGUGGCUGCAGUGGGGAAUAUUGCACAAUGGGCGCAAGCCUGAUGCAGCCAUGCCGCGUGUGUGAAGAAGGCCUUCGGGUUGUAAAGCACUUUCAGCGGGGAGGAAGGCGGUGAGGUUAAUAACCUCAUCGAUUGACGUUACCCGCAGAAGAAGCACCGGCUAACUCCGUGCCAGCAGCCGCGGUAAUACGGAGGGUGCAAGCGUUAAUCGGAAUUACUGGGCGUAAAGCGCACGCAGGCGGUCUGUCAAGUCGGAUGUGACAUCCCCGGGCUCAACCUGGGAACUGCAUUCGAAACUGGCAGGCUAGAGUCUUGUAGAGGGGGGUAGAAUUCCAGGUGUAGCGGAGAAAUGCGUAGAGAUCUGGAGGAAUACCGGUGGCGAAGGCGGCCCCCUGGACAAAGACUGACGCUCAGGUGCGAAAGCGUGGGGAGCAAACAGGAUUAGAUACCCUAGGAGUC